GCUUAGCCCUAAACAUAGACAGUAGAGAUACAAUACUGUCCGCCAGAGAACUACAAGUGAAAAACUAGAAACUCCAAGGACUUGGCGGUGCUCCAUACCGACCUAGAGGAGCCUGUCCUAUAAUCGAUAAUCCACGUUUUACCUCACCCCUUCUUGUAAUUCAGCCUAUAUACCGCCGUCGUCAGCCUACCUUAUGAAAGGAAACAAAGUAGGCAAAAUAACCUACAGUUAAUACGUCAGGUCAAGGUGUAGCACAUGAAGAGGAAGAGAUGGGCUACACUUUCUACCACAGAAUAAAACGGAUUGCCCAGUGAAACCUGGGCUUAAAGGCGGAUUUAGUAGUAAGAUAAACAAGAAACUUUGUCUGAAACCCGCUCUGGAGCGCGC
rnacentral:rRNA from 1 species